UACAUGCAAGUCGAGCGAAUGGAUUAAGAGCUUGCUCUUAUGAGGCUAGCGGCGGACGGGUGAGUAACGCGUGGGUAACCUGCCGAUGAGACUGGAAUAACUCCGGAAAACCGAGGCUAUUACCGGAUAAGAUUUUGAACCGCAUGGUUCGAACUUGAAAGGUGAUUUCGUCUGACGCUUAUGGAUGGACCCGCGUCGCAUUAGCUAGAUGGUGAGGCAUCGGCUCACCAAGGUAACGAUGCGGAGACGACCUGAGAGGGUGAUCGGACACACUGGGACUGAGACACGGACCAGACUCCUACGGGAGGCAGCAGUAGGGAAUCUUCCGCAAUGUACGAAAGUCUGACGGAGCGACGCCGCGUGAGUGAUGAAGGCUUUCGGGUCGUAAAACUCUGUUGUUAGGGAAGAACAAGUGCUAGUUGAAUAAGCUGGCACCUUGACGGUACCUAACCAGAAAGCCACGGCUAACUACGUGCCAGCAGCCGCGGUAAUACGUAGGUGGCAAGCGUUAUCCGGAAUUAUUGGGCGUAAAGCGCGCGCAGGUGGUUUCUUAAGUCUGAUGUGAAAGCCCACGGCUCAACCGUGGAGGGUCAUUGGAAACUGGGAGACUUGAGUGCAGAAGAGGAAAGUGGAAUUCCAUGUG
rnacentral:rRNA from 1 species